UAAGGAAUAUUGGUCAAUGGACGAAAGUCUGAACCAGCCAUGCCGCGUGGAGGAUGAAGGUCCUCUGGAUUGUAAACUUCUUUUAUCUGGGAAGAAAAAAUGGUUUUUCUAGACCGACUGACGGUACCAGAUGAAUAAGCACCGGCUAACUCCGUGCCAGCAGCCGCGGUAAUACGGAGGGUGCAAGCGUUAUCCGGAUUCACUGGGUUUAAAGGGUGCGUAGGUGGAUUGCCAAGUCCGUGGUGAAAUC
rnacentral:rRNA from 1 species